UGGGGGUUAGUACAAGGAGUAUAUAUAGUUUCGGCCUAUAAGGUAAGCAAUUCGUUUACUCCCAU
rnacentral:tRNA from 1 species